rnacentral:misc_RNA from 1 species
GGAUAAUUGUGAAUGCAUAGGAUUUGUAAGGACUGUCUGGUUUAUACUAGGAUUAAGUGGAGAUGGUCGAUGAUCAUUUCCGUAAGACCCUGCAGCUGCUUGAAGCAGUGCCAACUGUUGGGCCAAUUGUUGCACAAGGGGCGCCUGCUGAUGCAACAAACUGCUAACUUGAUGAGUUUCCUGUGAAUGGACCAACCCCGCGUGUUGGGGCACAUCAUUUGCUUCUGGAACCACCAUUGAACUUCUCUG